CCUACGGGAGGCAGCAGUGAGGAAUAUUGGUCAAUGGACGAGAGUCUGAACCAGCCAAGUAGCGUGAAGGAUGACUGCCCUAUGGGUUGUAAACUUCUUUUAUAUGGGAAUAAAAUGUUCCACGUGUGGGAUUUUGUAUGUACCAUAUGAAUAAGGAUCGACUAACUCCGUGCCAGCAGCCGCGGUAAUACGGAGGAUCCGAGCGUUAUCCGGAUUUAUUGGGUUUAAAGGGAGCGUAGGUGGAUUGGUAAGUCAGUUGUGAAAGUUUGCGGCUCAACCGUAAAAUUGCAGUUGAAACUGGCAGUCUUGAGUACAGUAGAGGUGGGCGGAAUUCGUGGUGUAGCGGUGAAAUGCUUAGAUAUCACGAAGAACUCCGAUUGCGAAGGCAGUUCACUGGACUGCAACUGACACUGAGGCUCGAAAGUGUGGGUAUCAAACAGGAUUAGAUACCCGUGUAGUC
rnacentral:rRNA from 1 species